rnacentral:rRNA from 1 species
CGCUGGCGGCAGGCCUAAUACAUGCAAGUCGAGCGCGCCCUUCGGGGUGAGCGGCGGACGGGUGAGUAACGCGUGGGAAUAUGCCCUUCUCUAAGGAAUAGCCUCUGGAAACGGAGAGUAAUACCUUAUACGCCCUUUGGGGGAAAGAUUUAUCGGAGAAGGAUUAGCCCGCGUUAGAUUAGGUAGUUGGUGGGGUAAUGGCCUACCAAGCCUACGAUCUAUAGCUGGUUUGAGAGGAUGAUCAGCCACACUGGGACUGAGACACGGCCCAGACUCCUACGGGAGGCAGCAGUAGGGAAUCUUAGACAAUGGGGGCAACCCUGAUCUAGCCAUGCCGCGUGUGUGAUGAAGGCCCUAGGGUCGUAAAGCACUUUCGCCAGAGAUGAUAAUGACAGUAUCUGGUAAAGAAACCCCGGCUAACUCCGUGCCAGCAGCCGCGGUAAUACGGAGGGGGUUAGCGUUGUUCGGAAUUACUGGGCGUAAAGCGCACGUAGGCGGAUUAGUAAGUUAGAGGUGAAAUCCCAGGGCUCAACCCUGGAACUGCCUUUAAUACUGCUAGUCUUGAGUUCGAGAGAGGUAAGUGGAAUUCCGAGUGUAGAGGUGAAAUUCGUAGAUAUUCGGAGGAACACCAGUGGCGAAGGCGGCUUACUGGCUCGAUACUGACGCUGAGGUGCGAAAGUGUGGGGAGCAAACAGGAUUAGAUACCCUGGUAGUCCACACCGUAAACGAUGAAUGCCAGACGUCAGCAAGUAUACUUGUUGGUGUCACACCUAACGGAUUAAGCAUCCG